rnacentral:rRNA from 1 species
GACGAACGCUGGCGGCGUGCUUAACACAUGCAAGUCGAACGGAAAGGCCCUGCUUGCAGGGUGCUCGAGUGGCGAACGGGUGAGUAACACGUGGGUGAUCUGCCCCUUAUUUUGGGAUAAGCCUGGGAAACUGGGUCUAAUACUGGAUAGGACCAUGCUGUAGGUGGUGUGGUGGAAAGAUUAGUUUCGGUAAGGGAUGAGCUCGCGGCCUAUCAGCUUGUUGGUGGGGUAAUGGCCUACCAAGGCGUCGACGGGUAGCCGGCCUGAGAGGGUGGACGGCCACAUUGGGACUGAGAUACGGCCCAGACGCCUACGGGAGGCAGCAGUGGGGAAUAUUGCACAAUGGGCGCAAGCCUGAUGCAGCGACGCCGCGUGGGGGAUGACGGCCUUCGGGUUGUAAACUCCUUUCAGCCAUGACGAAGCCCUUGUGGUGACGGUAGUGGUAGAAGAAGCACCGGCUAACUACGUG